CAAAUACUCCCUCCGUCCGGAAAUACUUGUCAUCAAAAUGGAUAAAAGGAAAUGUAUCUAGACGUAUUUUAGUUUUAGACAUAUCUUUUUAUCCAUUUUGAUGACAAGUAUUUUUGGACGGAGGGAGUAGAAA
rfam:Triticum aestivum genome assembly, contig: Triticum_aestivum_CS42_TGACv1_scaffold_213027_3AS